rnacentral:lncRNA from 1 species
AUUUCUCAGAGACAGCUAUUAAGAGACAGAUAUUUGUCUUGCAGUUAUGAAAUAACAGAGCAAAGGUCAAUAAAAGCCUCUGAGAAGCACGUCAAACUGCACAGUCAUGUUAACAUCCAGUGACAUUAGCGGACGGUUCCUCAGCCUUUGGGAUGUGACACCAGAUUCCUCCAGCCUGGACUUGCGUCAGCGUGGAGAUUUUUGGAGAUCCAGCGUUUGGGCUGCCAGCUGGAGAGAGGGUGUGAGAAACAGGGCCUGCUGU